rnacentral:rRNA from 1 species
ACAGGGAGGCGAGCGUUAAUCGGAAUUACUGGGCGUAAAGCGCACGCAGGCGGCUUGUUAAGCUAGAGGUGAAAGCCCCGCGCUCAACGUGGGAACUGCCUUUAGAACUGGCAGGCUAGAGUCUUGGAGAGGGGAGUGGAAUUCCAGGUGUAGCGGUGAAAUGCGUAGAUAUCUGGAGGAACAUCAGUGGCGAAGGCGGCUCCCUGGCCAAAGACAGACGCUCAUGUGCGAAAGUGUGGGUAGCGAAACAGGAUUAGAUACCCGGUAGUCAA